rnacentral:tRNA from 1 species
GCCGGAGUGGUGAAACUGGUAGACGCGCUAGACUCAAAAUCUAGUAAGGGAAACCUUGUGUCGGUUCGAGUCCGACCUUCGGCACCA